CUUCUGCUCCCUCCGUCCCAAAAUUCUUGUCUUAGAUUUGUCUAAAUACGGAUGUAUCAAAGUCACGUUUUAGUAUUAGGUACAUCCGUAUCUAGACAAGUCUAAGGCAAGAAUUUUGGGACGGAGGGAGUACAUU
rfam:Triticum aestivum genome assembly, contig: Triticum_aestivum_CS42_TGACv1_scaffold_569106_7AS